UUUUAACAUGAGAGUUUGAUCCUGGCUCAGGAUGAACGCUGGCGGCGUGCUUAACACAUGCAAGUCGAACGAAGCAAUUUUCUACGAUCCCUU
rnacentral:rRNA from 1 species